CCUGAGAUGCCUGAGCAAACAGCCAGCGUGUCGCUUUCCUGCCUUUUUUUUCCUUCUCAAACUCAGCCUCAUUGCUUGCAGGGGGAAGGCAGACACUGUCUGCUGACUAAUUUCCACUUGUUUCGAUAGUCGGAUGACAAUAUGAUUAAUUAUCAUCACGGUGUCACCGAGCCGGGUGAAGGCUGCCUCGCACCUUCUGGAAGCUGUGUUGAAAUUCCUGAGAUGAUUUCGCUCGUGCUCCUUCAUUUCUAUUUCCUUUGGGCACUUUAGCAGCCAAGCUUAGAAGUGAGAAAACACUUCAUCCAGCCCUGGGGCUGCUUCUGAACCUGCAGUGCUGCUGUGCGGUGUUCAGACUGGUAUAGCAGCAGGUUUAAGUGAAGACAAUGACACAAGAUCAAGCUAUUGGCUUGCUCAGGACUGAGGAGGCUCUUCUGGAGGGAGGAAUUGUCCUGCUGCAUCCUACAUGAUGUUAAACAACACAAACAGGAGUCAUUACCAGCUAUCCUUGCACUGGGCAGCACAAAUACCUUGUUAAAUGUGCACUAACUUCCUCCAGCCACUGUGCUCCCUAUGCUGGUUCUUGAACAUCCCGACCCAUGUGGCACCAUCACUGCCUGUACUGGAGGGAUGCUGUGGCUGUGGGGCAUCUCCACACAUCUCCUGUUGGAUUUUAUGCCAAAGUUCCUCCUCCCACAUCAUUUUGGCAAGUCUCAGGCUCUGCAUGUAUAGCAGAAGCUGACGGCUGGGGAAAGGCAGCUGAAGGUCACCCCUCCGUUCCCUUAUUAUGAGCAUCCCAAAGAGGUGACCGGUGAGAAAGGCAAACGAGUCGCUGACGGUCAAAGUUCAUUUUUCUUGUAAUUAGCAGAUUGCAUGAAAGUUCAGGAGCUUCCACAGAAUAAGAGUUAAAGAUUGAGUUCACUCACCUGUCCCUACAAUUAACAGCUAUAAAGGUGUCACUGGGAUAAAAAGUGAGAGAAAGUAGAAGGCAGACUCCAAUUUACCCACAAUUAAGGUGCAGGGAGUGCCGGGGGUUUGUGUGCUCAUGCUUAGCCCCUGGAUGGAGGAGAUUUAACACCCCACUUCAAUUUUCCCACAAUUAGCCCCUCCCCAGAAGAUGCCAUUGACCUCAUCAGCUUGGAGACUGAGUUCCAGGGUUAAUUUUUUCUGUUGCUGCCUAAUGAACAGUGCCAAAGAGGGAUGCUGGGUUCACUUCUUGGCAGAGCAGUACAGAAAAAAGCUUUUUUUUUUCAGCUUGCUGACCAAAGCCGCAAGAAUUCUGUCUCUGUAUAUUCAAAGCCACUUGGGGCCAGUGGGAUAUGAAGAUGCCUUUCUGCUACGGCUGCACAAAGAGCAUCCAGAAGGAGGUGGCUUUUGGUUUCCUUUUCUCACCAUGGAGGCUGUGUAAAUGUGUCCCAGGGACUCCUUGCCACCCCAAUGUAAUUAUUUUAGGGAAGAAAUUGCUUACUUCGCAUUUUCUUGUCAUUUUACUUGGGUGUGAAAGUGUUCUUAAUUUAGGUGUGGAGGCUGUGGCCGUGCCAUCACCUCCAGCACCUGUUCAUCGAUAAUCACACUGCUCCUCCCGGGCUCCCCAGGAGCAGCACAGGGGCAGGUAGGUUUUGGUCUGCUUUCCCCAGUAAAUGAGCCUCAGGCAACCUGAAUUGUCCUGGGACAAUUCAACUCGACAACAAACAAACAAACAAACAAAAAACCCAAACAAACAUACAGGAAAAAAACAACACUUUUUAUUUAAAGAAAAAUAGGAAAGCUCUGGAAAAAAACACCACUGUACCCAUGUCCUCUGCCCCUCUGGGACUACUUUUAUAUUUGUGUCUCUUACGCCUGCCUUUCCAGCAACCAUGCGGACUCGUCUGUGGAAGGGAGAACGGUCUGAGGCAGCACAACGUGGUGAUGUGGAGUGUGUUCAUACAGUUACACACAUUUCUCAUUAUUAAGGUUCAAUUCCCAGUCCCUGGGUGCAGAAGGCAGUUUAAUAAACAUGACAGCUUGGGAUGGGUAGCUUCAACUUCUCUAUAACACCUAGUGAGGACUGAGAAACAUUUUGGACCCUACACAUGAGACUCGUUCUAUGCUACAAGACGUGGAGCAGGGUUUUAAAGCAGCAAAUGUGCUUAUAUCCCUUGUGAGCAGGAACACAGCUCAACGCUGCUGUGUGUCCUCCGAGCGAGGGCUCGGUAAGCUCCAUUGCUAAGCAGAUAGAUCAAUGUCAAGCCAUACCCGCAGCCUGUGCCUAGCAUGGAAGCUGGAUUUUGUAGUGCAUAAGCUGCCAGGAAGAAUAAUUAAAUAUACUGCAAGCUACCUUUGGUUUAAAAUUUGCAAGAGGAGAAAUGAAAAUCAGCAGAAGCCAGAAUGCAUCAGCAGAACUGUGUGGUGACUUGUCAACUGCAGUGAUUCUGAACUGUUUGCUUCACUUCUACUAGGAAAAUACCAUAAUCUGUGAUGUAUGUCCUUCAUAGCUGUACUCAUGUGUGUGUCUGUAUCUAUACAGAACCAUUUAAACGUAGUAAGCUUCUAGCUGUGAAGUGUCGAGACCAGAUAUUACUGAAGUAGCUUCAGACCUGCCAUCACACUGCCACUAUUUGGUGUUAAUGUAUGCUGACUUUUAAAUGCACUGUAUGUAUUCUUUAAUGUGAUGCAGUAAAUAAUACUGGGACCAUGCUAGGUUUUGUCAUCUGUUUCGUGCAAAGACCUACCACUCUGAGUUAUGGGGAAGGAAGUUCUUAGAGGGUCACCCAACACAAGAAUCCACUUUACCCCACACGGGUCUGGGAGGUGCCUGCACUCCACUUCAGACGUGACUACACUCUCCCUGUGAAGGCUGCCCUCGUGAGGCCUUCUGUGUGGAUGAGUACGGAAACACGAGAUGCUCAGCCUGAUGGACAGCUGCUAGUUGGGUCACAGGCACCUCACAAGACCUGGGAAGCCCCUUAUGAGCUCCAAGCGGGAUGCUGACCUUGAAGUCACAGCUCAGGUGUCCUCAGUCCUUCACCCUGGCUCUAAGGAGAGCGAAUAAGGUCUCACAUGCCAGUGUUGGGCCAUAAAAGUUUAUACAACCUCACAGUAUGAGCUGUUUGAUACUGUUAUUUAGUAGUCCGGCUGAGGUUGAUGUAUCAUGGCCACUUGGAUGUGAAAGG